GUGGUUGUGGCUCAGUGGUAGAGCACUCGCCUGGCACGUGUGAAGCACUGGGUUUGAUCCUCAGCACCACA
rfam:Ictidomys tridecemlineatus contig071146, whole genome shotgun sequence.